rnacentral:rRNA from 1 species
GAUGAACGCUGGCGGCGUGCCUAAUACAUGCAAGUCGAGCGAACAGACGAGGAGCUUGCUGCUCUGACGUUAGCGGCAGACGUGUGAGUAACACGUGGAUAACCUACCUAUAAUACUGGGAUCACUUCGAGAAACCGGAGCUAAUCCCGUAUAAUAUCUUGAACCGCAUGGGUCAAUAGUGAAAUACGGUUUUUCUGUCACUUAUAGAUGGAUCCGCGCCGCAUUAUCUAGUUGGUAAUGUAACGGCUUACCAAGGCAACCAUGCGUAGCCGAGCUGAGAGGGUGUACGGCCACACUGGGACUGAGACACGGUCCAGACUCCUACGGGAGGCAGCAGUAGGGAAUCUUCCGAAAUGGGCGAAAGCCUGAAGGAGCAACGCCGCGUGAGUGAUGAAGGUCUUCGGAUCGUAAAACUCUGUUAUUAGGGAAGAACAAAUGUGUAAGUAACUAUGCACGUCUUGACGGUACCUAAUCAGAAGGACACGGCUAACUACGGG